rnacentral:rRNA from 1 species
ACGGGUGAGUAACAUAUCGGAACGUACCGAGCAGUGGGGGAUAACUAAUCGAAAGAUUAGCUAAUACCGCAUAUAUUCUGAGGAAGAAAGCAGGGGACCAUUUGGCCUUGCGCUGUUUGAGCGGCCGAUAUCUGAUUAGCUAGUUGGUGGGGUAAAGGCCUACCAAGGCGACGAUCAGUAGCGGGUCUGAGAGGAUGAUCCGCCACACUGGGACUGAGACACGGCCCAGACUCCUACGGGAGGCAGCAGUGGGGAAUUUUGGACAAUGGGCGCAAGCCUGAUCCAGCCAUGCCGCGUGUCUGAAGAAGGCCUUCGGGUUGUAAAGGACUUUUGUCAGGGAAGAAAAGGGCGGGGUUAAUACCCCUGUCUGAUGACGGUACCUGAAGAAUAAGCACCGGCUAACUACGUGCCAGCAGCCGCGGUAAUACGUAGGGUGCGAGCGUUAAUCGGAAUUACUGGGCGUAAAGCGGGCGCAGACGGUUACUUAAGCAGGAUGUGAAAUCCCCGGGCUCAACCUGGGAACUGCGUUCUGAACUGGGUGACUAGAGUGUGUCAGAGGGAGGUAGAAUUCCACGUGUAGCAGUGAAAUGCGUAGAGAUGUGGAGGAAUACCGAUGGCGAAGGCAGCCUCCUGGGAUAACACUGACGUUCAUGCCCGAAAGCGUGGGUAGCAAACAGGAUUAGAUACCCU